UACGGAGGGUGCAAGCGUUAUCCGGAUUCACUGGGUUUAAAGGGUGCGUAGGUGGGUUGAUAAGUCAGUGGUGAAAUCCCCGAGCUUAACUUGGGAACUGCCAUUGAUACUAUUGAUCUUGAAUACCGUGGAGGUCAGCGGAAUAUGUCAUGUAGCGGUGAAAUGCUUAGAUAUGACAUAGAACACCAAUUGCGAAGGCAGCUGGCUACGCGAAUAUUGACACUGAUGCGCGAAAGCGUGGGGAGCAAACAGG
rnacentral:rRNA from 1 species